CGUGUAGGCGGUGGCGCAAGUCGGGUGUGAAAGCCCCUGGCUUAACCAGGGAGGGUCAUCCGAAACUGCGCCGCUUGAGGGCAGCAGAGGAAAGUAGAAUUCCCGGUGUAGUGGUGAAAUGCGUAGAUAUCGGGAGGAAUACCGGUGGCGAAGGCGGCUUUCUGGGCUGUACCUGACGCUGAGGCGCGAAAGCGUGGGGAGCGAACUGAAUUAGAUACUCAGGUAGUCCACGCUGUAAACGAUGGACACUAGGUGUGGGGGGUAUCGACCCCCUCCGUGCCGAAGCUAACGCAUUAAGUGUCCCGCCUGGGGAGUACGGCCGCAAGGCUAAA
rnacentral:rRNA from 1 species